rnacentral:ncRNA from 1 species
GGGGAGCGCGCCGGGCCCGGACGAGGUGCGCCGUACCCGGUCACGACAAGACGACGCCUC